UACGUAGGGUGCAAGCGUUGUCCGGAAUUAUUGGGCGUAAAGAGCUCGUAGGCGGUCUGUCGCGUCGGCUGUGAAAUCCCGAGGCUCAACCUCGGGUCUGCAGUCGAUACGGGCAAACUGGAGUGUUGCAGGGGAGACUGGAAUUCCGUGGUGUAGCGGUGAAAUGCGCAGAUAUCAGGAGGAACACCGGUGGCGAAGGCGGGUCUCUGGGCAACAACUGACGCUGAGGAGCGAAAGCGUGGGGAGCGAACAGG
rnacentral:rRNA from 1 species